rnacentral:rRNA from 1 species
GAUGAACGCUGGCGGCGUGCCUAAUACAUGCAAGUCGAGCGGACGGACGAGAAGCUUGCUUCUCUGAUGUUAGCGGCGGACGGGUGAGUAACACGUGGAUAACCUACCUAUAAGACUGGGAUAACUUCGGGAAACCGGAGCUAAUACCGGAUAAUAUUUUGAACCGCAUGGUUCAAAAGUGAAAGACGGUCUUGCUGUCACUUAUAGAUGGAUCCGCGCUGCAUUAGCUAGUUGGUAAGGUAACGGCUUACCAAGGCAACGAUGCAUAGCCGACCUGAGAGGGUGAUCGGCCACACGGGAACUGAGACACGGUCCAGACUCCUACGGGAGGCAGCAGUAGGGAAUCUUCCGCAAUGGGCGAAAGCCUGACGGAGCAACGCCGCGUGAGUGAUGAAGGUCUUCGGAUCGUAAAACUCUGUUAUUAGGGAAGAACAUAUGUGUAAGUAACUGUGCACAUCUUGACGGUACCUAAUCAGAAAGCCACGGCUAACUACGUG